GACGAACGCUGGCGGCGUGCUUAACACAUGCAAGUCGAACGGAAAGGCCCUGCUUUUGUGGGGUGCUCGAGUGGCGAACGGGUGAGUAACACGUGAGUAACCUGCCCUUGACUUUGGGAUAACUUCAGGAAACUGGGGCUAAUACCGGAUAGGAGCUCCUGCUGCAUGGGGGGGGUUGGAAAGUUUCGGCGGUUGGGGAUUGACUCGCGGCUUAUCAGCUGGUUGGUGGGGUAGUGGCUUACCAAGGCUUUGACGGGUAGCCGGCCUGAGAGGGUGACCGGCCACCUUGGGCCUGCGGUACGGCCCAGACUCCUACGUGAGGCAGCAGUCGGGAAUAUUGCACAAUGGGCGGAAGCCUGAUGCAGCAACGCCGCGUGCGGGAUGCCGGCCUUUGGGUUGUAAACCGCUUUCGCCUGUGCCGAAGCGUGAGUGACGGUAAUGGGUAAAGAAGCACCGGCUAACUACGUG
rnacentral:rRNA from 1 species